AGCCUAGUUUGAAAAGGAAAAGGAGUAACCAAAGGUCGCAGAAUUCAUCAACACUAUACAAAAUGCUAAAAAAAGUACUCAAUGGUGCUGAGGACUCACGGAAGAUAAUACUAGAGGCCCUAAGCCUAAUGAAAGAAGAGGGAUGGCCAGUAAGGAGGAUAGCGUUGAUGAAGAUGACGAGGGUAUGGUCACGGCUAGAAGCCAUGUUUAAAUACAAGG